AUGGUGAUAAAAUAGAGAUCCAGACAAGUGAUGGCAAAAAGAGCCAACAAGAAGAGUCUGUUGGGGUGAAAAAUAUUCGUGAGUAUGAAGAAAACCAGCUCAAAGUUGUAGACCAGAUGGCUGAAGAAAGGCUUAGCCUGCACAAUCAGCAAUCAAAGAUUAAAUAUCAAUUGGUGUAU